UGUUUUCUAAGUGACCGAAAUCCGGAAUAGCUUUCGAUAAUAGACACCCACAAUUUCAUUCGUUGUUCGUCCGAACACAUUCCGUAAAAAUAGGCAUGUUUGCGAUCAUAAUCAUUUUUGGGACACAGAGUCACAGCAGUUAACUAUGCUGUGGAGCCAUAUCCAUAAUUGCUACUGAAGAAAUGGUUUUUUUGGUUCUUUUUUUUAAACAUUGUAUUUUUUAUUAUUACGCGUCUUGCCAAUUUUAGGGUAGGGUAUGCAAUUUGAAAACAGGAAAGAAAAGAAGCAAAAAAAAAGAAAAAGGUAGUUUUUAGCUUCAUUUGAGAAGAGAAACCAGUCGAAAAUUAUGCUAAUGAGUUCAUCAUACAGAAAAUAUAAAAUCUGAUUUCAAAUCUUGUCGCUUGAAGACAACAACUAGCAGGAGCUUGGGCCGUUUGGUGAUGGGUAGAUGGCAUAUGAUUCAAGUCGACUUUCGUCAUAGCCAUCUCUAUUUAGGAAGCCGAAAGGUUUGGGCUUUUUUCGAAGCAAAUUUGGAUCCCCUUCCUCCAAUUCAACCACGCCUUCAAGUAUACCCACGGGAGCCAAUUUAUCGUCUAGUGGCGAUAUUUUAAAACUCGGUUUGUUCACAAUUCUAUUGAAACAAAUUGUUUCAUGACGGGAAAAGAAAUUAUAGGGAACAACACAAUGUGAGUCGGCUAAGGUGCUGAUUACUAUUCCAUAGGAAUAGAGUUUCAUAGAAAUUGUCGAAAAGUCUAGUCCUUUAGUUAGAGUAUCCUAUGUCUGUUUUAACAGGUGUAGGUUGUCAGACAUGUUUUUAUACAAUAUUAAAUAUUUUCACUUCAUGAACAAUAUCAAGCAGAAGCCAGUGUUUAUAAUGAACACUUGGUAAUAUUUCUUUUAGAGCGACAACUGAAGUCUACAACAUAAAUGCUUUUUCUUCGAUAUAUUCAGAUAUAACUCAGAUUCAUGUUUUUCAUAAAUCGUACUAUUCGGGACAUUUAAUCUGGAAGUCAAAUGAAGCUUAGAACUGCAUGAACUUUUUUACAAACAUUAAUUUCGUAAAAUAAUACCAGUUUCUAUUUUUUUUCCAUUGUUUUGAAAAUUGAUUAUCAAGCCCCAAAGUUAAACAAGUCAAUAUGUCAGGUACUAUUCCACGGGCAAAGUAAAGAUUUGAGAUUAGAUGAAGUUAGGUAGGAACUUUAACUUCUCAAAAUCGUUCGUUCUCUUGAAUUGCUUUAUACGCGUGUUGAAUCAUGGAUUCUUGGUCCGUUUAAGGCCGGAAGUUGGUGAAUAACAUCAAAACCUGAAAAAUGCCUUUUACAUGUCAAGCACGUGAGCCUUCAUGCAGGCAGUGCUCAUAACCAAACGCACCAUUAUAUCGUAUUAGGUUGCAAAACAUUGCUCUGGCUGGGAAAUUGGCAACACAAUAAAAACAUCUCUUUUAUUGUAUUUUUCUUCCCAGUAGAAUCGUACCAAUCAAAUCCAAUUUCAAAAAAUGAAAUAGUUUGAUCUACAAAAGAUCUAAAAAGAGUUUCUAGUGGUGGUUUUUUAGUGCCUGAGUACAGAAGAGUGAGAAACUCGUAUUUCAGAUGAGUGUCAAGUUCAUUGUGAUAGACCACAACGUAGACUCUUGUUUUGAUUUCGAGUUGAACGUUCGUCGACGAACUUUUUCCUCAGAUUCCAGCGCUGAUGGCAAUCAGAACAACUAAUGGAAGACUCUACAUUCUCUAGAUGUUUCUACAGCAGUGCAGCGUUCCCUCUUCUUGUUGAGCGAUCAUUCUUACACGUCUGUCAAAAUUUCACAUGAGCUGGGAUCCAAUCAACAUGGUACCGACGAUUUAGUGUCCAAACUGAGCGCCAAAUGUCAGGAGGUUCAUAUAAGUUGUAGAGAUCAUCUGCUUUGUAUAAAACUCUGCCCCAGGACAUCUAUAUUACGCAACAGUCUGAAUUCCAACGUAAUAUCAACACAUUUAGUUAUGAAAUGCGAUAUCAUCAAACAUUCUUUUGGGUCAUUCCAUCCCAACUCGAAUUUUUUCGUCGCGGAAAAAAUAGAAAUGUCUGAUUUUUUUACAGUGUGUUCCUUAUACAUCAAUCAUGCACUGUGUAAAAUAUCAGAUUUUUAAAAACAAACUGGAAGCUGAAAAUC